rnacentral:rRNA from 1 species
UAACGGCCCAACAAGCCUUUGAUCGGUACGGGUUGUGGGAGCAAGAGCCCGGAGAUGGAUUCUGAGACAUGAAUCCAGGCCCUACGGGGCGCAGCAGGCGCGAAAACUUUACAAUGCGGGCAACCGCGAUAAGGGGACCUCGAGUGCUGGGUUACAAACCUGGCUGUUGGGCUGCCUAAAAAGUAGUCUAUAGCAAGGGCCGGGCAAGACCGGUGCCAGCCGCCGCGGUAACACCGGCGGCUCGAGUGGUAACCGCUAUUAUUGGGUCUAAAGGGUCUGUAGCCGGCCGACUAAGUCUCUUGGGAAAUCUGGCAUCUCAAGUGUCAGGCUGCCAGGGGAUACUGGUCGGCUUGGGACCGGGAGAGGUGAGAGGUACCUCGGGGGUAGGGGUGAAAUCUUGUAAUCCUUGAGGGACCACCAGUGGCGAAGGCGUCUCACCAGAACGGAUCCGACGGCAAGGGACGAAAGCUAGGGGCACGAACCGGAUUAGAUACCCGGGUAGUCCUAGCCGUAAACGAUACUCGCUAGGUGUCGGCCACGGUGCGACCGUGGUCGGUGCCGUAGGGAAGCCGUGAAGCGAGCCACCUGGGAAGUACGGCCGCAAGGCUGAAACUUAA